UCCAACAUCGAACCGUGGAUUUAACCAGUCAUGGUACUUUUGUUCACAAACAAUCGGCAAACAGGUUGAUUUCUGGUAUAGGAAUUGAGCGGAUCAAAGAUUAGAAGAAGUCUUAAGUACGUUUCGAUCGGCGAUCGAUUUAGGAAACCGAGGCAAAGAGGGAAAAAAAAAAGCAAAAACACGACGACUGCUAGUGGAUUUAGCCAUUGAGAGAGAUGGCAGCCGACCUUCGAGGGCGAAGGCGUCGAGGAGAGAGCUGGUGUUUGGCGCUCGAAAGAAACGGGAGUCGGAGGGUAUGUUGUUGUCGUUGUUGUUGUUAGGAUUCUUCCCUCCGUUGCUUCCUCUGACGUGGCUCCGCCGCUUUUGUUAGAACACCCAGCCUCCAUCCUCCCAUUGCUCCACUCUCGACGGUCAACGCACUCCCAUUUCUCACUAAUCUCUUCAAAUAGUUUCUAUUAGAAGCCGUGCCGAGAGAGACAGCGAGGGAGACCUGCGGCCCUGUCACCCUUCUUCGAACCUCACCGGAAUAUAGCUCUUCAAGCUUCGGUAGGUUUUGAGAAAACCAUCCAACAUCCAGCUGAACAUUUGGUGGAAAAUGGCACCAAGGGAAUCACUAAACAUAAAGAGAUCAGGAAGUUUCAUUUCCCAAGUCGCGACAGGUGAUCAGUAAGACAAAGAUCAAGACAAUGCUUUCUUAGAAUAAGCAUCUCUUUUCUUUUUUAACUCAUACAUCAUUGUUCCAUGAUCCAAAAAGGCCCUUCUGAGGUGAAAAGCCACUGGUGACAUUCUCAAAUGGCUCCUACUGAAUAUGUUUUUUAUCUUUGUAUUUUUUGUUAUUGUUACAUUCCUUGCUUUCCACAGAGUGUGUGUACCUCAUGAUUUUUGUAGUCCAGUAAUUGAAACAGGAAAUAGUUUUCUCUUCACAGUUGUAGAAUGAAAAAUGUUUUUUGUCACUUCUGUGAGACAGGCUUAGGAAGUAUGCUGAUCGAAUGCAUUUGAGCCACAUGGUAAUUGGAUGAUUUUGUUUUAUGGACUUUUUUAAUUCUAUGGAGUGCCAUGCAAUUUUUUGUUGCAAAAUUAUUGACCAAUGGUCACUCAAUUCCCAAAGAAAAUUAAGCAAAGAUGCAAUUCCUUAUCAACAAUUAUGAUGGCAACGUUAACAACUCGUCGAGCCAAAUUAAUAAUAAGAAAACAAAUCCGUCUUCAACACUGAAGCAGAAAAAAAAAAAAAAAAACAUUUCAUAAGAAAACUUAUGAAAGCGAUUCCGAGUAUUCGUUAACAAUUCGUCUAGAAAUCGCAGUGUUAACAAAAAACAAAAAAGAAAACUUAUGAAAGCGUUACCAAUUCAUCUUCAUCGCUGUGGCUCGAAAAAACAAAAAAAAAAACAUUUCCUACAACUUGCAUUGUUAACUAAACCAAAAAAGAAAACUUAUGAA